AUGCCCAGCCCCAGGGGAAGGUGGGAUGCCCAGCCCCAGGGGAUGCCCGGACCCGAGGCGGGAUGCUCAGCUCCUGGGGGGAUGCUUAGCAGCCAGGCAGGACGGGUCACAGCCCUGCUGCCCUCGUGGGAUGGGAUGCUUGGCUACUGCACGUGGAUCCCACCACAGCAGUGGGAUGUGGUACCCACUGCAGGAGGAAGGAUGUGGAAAAGACAUCUCCCAAAUCCCACGGAUCCUUUUCCACCUUUGGUUUUGCAGCUUUGCUCCCUUCUCCCAGGCCAAGGGAGCUCUCUGGGCUGGCUCUGGCAGCAGCCAUGCCCCUGUGCUCACCCCUGGCUCACCUGGGCAGAAACACCCUCACCUCUCCGCACCACAUUCCCAGACAGGGAGACAAGGCAGUGCUCCAGGCCGGGGCAGAGGGGCUGGAAUGCUGGAAAACGUCCCGGGGGUGCCGGUGGCUGGACACGAACCCAGGUGAGCUCAGGUGAGCAAGUGGCCAAUGGCCCUGAGCUGGCACUGCUGGGGCACCUCCAGUGCUGGGGACAGCUCUGGGCCCCUCCUGACAGGAGAGCCCUGGAGGGGCUGGAGCAUGUUCAGGGCAGGGAACAGAGCUGGGACGGGAAUGGAGCCCCAGGAAAAGCUGAGAGAGCUGGGAAGGGGCUCAGCCUGGAGCAAAGGAGGCUCAGGGGGGACCCUGUGGCUCUGCACAAGUCUCUGACAGGAGGGGACAGCCAGGGGGAACAAGGACAGGAGGAGAGGGAACAGCCUCCAGCUGGGCCAGGGGAAGCUCAGGGUGGGCACCAGCAGGAAUUUCCCCAUGGAAAGGGAGCUCAGGCCUUGGAACUGCCAGGGGGGUUUGGAGAGCCCAUCCUGGAGGUGCCCAAGGAGCUCCUGGUGUGGCCCUCAGUGCCCUGGGCUGGUGACAGGGUGGGCACUGGGCACAGUGUGCACUCCAUGGCCCCGGGGGCUCUCCCGCCGCGCUGGGCUCGUUGGUUCUGCGGUGCCGAGGCACGGCCCUGGCAGGUCCUGCUGUCUUGUCAGGGAUUGUGGGAUUGUCUUGAGGCAUUUUACUUCCUUAUAAGGCCCUGCUGUUCCCUGCUCCUGUGUCUGCAGCCGGGCUGGCAUCGCCUGAGGGAGAGCACAACAAUUCCCAGCGGGCUGCUGGGACACCCUCCUGCCCUGCCCUGCCCUGCCCAGCCCAGCCCCUCGGAUCCUCGGCUCUCAUCCCCACACUGCCCGAUGCCCGGGCAGGAAGGCCUUUUUCUGCAGGUCCUGCCCUGUGGAAGGAGCAGCUCAGCCAUCUCCUGA
rnacentral:lncRNA from 1 species